GAUGAAGAACGUAGCGAUAUGCGAUAAGUAAUGUGAAUUGCAGAAUUCAGUGAAUCAUCGAGUUUUUGAACGCACAUUGCGCCCCCUGGUAUUCCGGGGGGCAUGCCUGUCCGAGCGUCAUUGCUGCCCUCAAGCGCGGCUUGUGUGUUGGGCCCCGUCCUCCGAUCCCGGGGGACGGGCCCGAAAGGCAGCGGCGGCACCGCGUCCGGUCCUCGAGCGUAUGGGGCUUUGUCACCCGGUCUGUAGGCCCGGCCGGCGCUUGCCGAUCAACCCAAAUUUUUUAUCCAGGUUGACCUCGGAUCAGGUAGGGAUACCCGCUGAACUUAAGCAUAUCAAUAAGCGGAGGA
rnacentral:misc_RNA from 1 species